CCCGCUGAACUUAAGCAUAUCAAUAAGCGGAGGAAAAGAAACUAACAAGGAUUCCCCUAGUAACUGCGAGUGAAGCGGGAAGAGCUCAAAUUUAAAAUCUGGCGUGCCUCUGGUCGUCCGAGUUGUAGUCUGGAGAAGCGUUUUCUGUGUUGGACCGUGUAUAAGUCUCUUGGAACAGGGCGUCAUAGAGGGUGAGAAUCCCGUCUUUGACACGGACUACCAAUGCUUUGUGAUGCGCUCUCAAAGAGUCGAGUUGUUUUGGGAAUGCAGCUCAAAAUGGGUGGUUAAUUCCAUCUAAAGCUAAAUACAGGCGAGAAGACGAUAGCGAACAAGUACGUGAAGGAAAGAUGAAAAGCACUUUGGAAAGAGAGUUAAACAGUACGUGAAAUUGCUGAAAGGGAAACGCUUGAAGUCAGUCGUGUCUGCCAGGACUCAGCCUUGCUUCUGCUUGGUGUACUUUCUGGUCGGAUGGGCCAACAUCAAUUUUGACCGUUGGAGAAAGGCUUUGGGAAUGUGGCACCUUCGGGUGUGUUAUAGCCCUUUGUUGUAUACGACGGUUGGGAUUGAGGACCGCAGCACGCCUUUAUGGCCGGGGCUCGCCCACGUACGUGCUUAGGAUGUUGGCAUAAUGGCUUUAAGCGACCCGUCUUGAAACACGG
rnacentral:rRNA from 1 species